UGCUCUGUGGCUAAGUUGGUUACGGCGUCCGACUGUUAUUCAAUCCACACUUCAAUCGGAAGAUCGUGAGUUCGACCCUCACCGGAGCAG
rfam:Cryptococcus amylolentus CBS 6039 supercont1.10, whole genome shotgun sequence.